rnacentral:rRNA from 1 species
CGAACGCGUUGGCCCAAUUGAUUGAUGGUGCUUGCACCUGAUUGAUUUUGGUCGCCAACGAGUGGCGGACGGGUGAGUAACACGUAGGUAACCUGCCCAGAAGCGGGGGACAACAUUUGGAAACAGAUGCUAAUACCGCAUAACAGCGUUGUUCGCAUGAACAACGCUUAAAAGAUGGCUUCUCGCUAUCACUUCUGGAUGGACCUGCGGUGCAUUAGCUUGUUGGUGGGGUAACGGCCUACCAAGGCGAUGAUGCAUAGCCGAGUUGAGAGACUGAUCGGCCACAAUGGGACUGAGACACGGCCCAUACUCCUACGGGAGGCAGCAGUAGGGAAUCUUCCACAAUGGGCGCAAGCCUGAUGGAGCAACACCGCGUGAGUGAAGAAGGGUUUCGGCUCGUAAAGCUCUGUUGUUAAAGAAGAACACGUAUGAGAGUAACUGUUCAUACGUUGACGGUAUUUAACCAGAAAGUCACGGCUAACUACGUGCCAGCAGCCGCGGUAAUACGUAGGUGGCAAGCGUUAUCCGGAUUUAUUGGGCGUAAAGAGAGUGCAGGCGGUUUUCUAAGUCUGAUGUGAAAGCCUUCGGCUUAACCGGAGAAGUGCAUCGGAAACUGGAUAACUUGAGUGCAGAAGAGGGUAGUGGAACUCCAUGUGUAGCGGUGGAAUGCGUAGAUAUAUGGAAGAACACCAGUGGCGAAGGCGGCUACCUGGUCUGCAACUGACGCUGAGACUCGAAAGCAUGGGUAGCGAACAGGAUUAGAUACCCUGGUAGUCCAUGCCGUAAACGAUGAGUGCUAGGUGUUGGAGGGUUUCCGCCCUUCAGUGCCGGAGCUAACGCAUUAAGCACUCCGCCUGGGGAGUACGACCGCAAGGUUGAAACUCAAAGGAAUUGACGGGGGCCCGCACAAGCGGUGGAGCAUGUGGUUUAAUUCGAAGCUACGCGAAGAACCUUACCAGGUCUUGACAUCUUGCGCCAACCCUAGAGAUAGGGCGUUUCCUUCGGGAACGCAAUGACAGGUGGUGCAUGGUCGUCGUCAGCUCGUGUCGUGAGAUGUUGGGUUAAGUCCCGCAACGAGCGCAACCCUUGUUACUAGUUGCCAGCAUUAAGUUGGGCACUCUAGUGAGACUGCCGGUGACAAACCGGAGGAAGGUGGGGACGACGUCAGAUCAUCAUGCCCCUUAUGACCUGGGCUACACACGUGCUACAAUGGACGGUACAACGAGUCGCGAACUCGCGAGGGCAAGCAAAUCUCUUAAAACCGUUCUCAGUUCGGACUGCAGGCUGCAACUCGCCUGCACGAAGUCGGAAUCGCUAGUAAUCGCGGAUCAGCAUGCCGCGGUGAAUACGUUCCCGGGCCUUGUACACACCGCCCGUCACACCAUGAGAGUUUGUAACACCCAAAGUCGGUGGGGUAACCUUUUAGGAGCCAGCCGCCUAAGGUGGGACAGAUGAUUAGGG